ACAAAAUGUUCAGUAUAAGAAAUUUCUUUUAAUAAUUACGUCAAAACGUGCAGUAGGUGGACUUUUGAGCUAACUCUGGAGAAGGAGCUGGAUUUCACCAGUUAGCCUCCUGUGGAUCUGCCACCAUCAUCACCCUCCCACCCCACCUCCACUGCCUUUUUUCCCAAGACUUUUUAAAAAAUGUUUUAUUGGCCAGGCACAGCACUUUGGGAGGCUGAGGCGGGCAUGAGAUUGGGAGUUUGAGACCAGCCUGACCAACAUGGAGAAACCCCAUCCGUACUAAAAAUACAAAAUUAGCCUGGCUUGGUGGCACAUGCCUGUAUGUAAUCCCAGCUACUCUGGAGGCUGAGGCAGGAGAACCACUUGAAUCCGGGAGGCAAAGGUCGCGAGUGGUGUUCAGUUAACAGAACAAUUAUUUCGUAUAAGCCACAUCAGAGACGACUGAAGAUGAAAAAACUACCAUCCCCAUAUAUAACUAAUUUGUGCUGUGCACCAACAAGAACCUGCUUUAAAUUUCCAUGGCAAUUUACAACCCCCAUACUGUACCAGGCAAGGUUAG
rnacentral:antisense_RNA from 1 species